AUUGAACGCUGGCGGCAUGCUUUACACAUGCCAGUCGAACGGCAGCGCGGGCUUCGGCCUGGCGGCGAGUGGCGAACGGGUGAGUAAUACAUCGGAACGUGCCCAGCAGUGGGGGAUAGCUCGGCGAAAGCCGGAUUAAUACCGCAUACGACCUGAGGGUGAAAGCGGGGGAUCUUCGGACCUCGCGCUAUUGGCGGGGCCGAUGGCAGAUUAGCUAGUUGGUUGGGUAAAGGCCUACCAAGGCGACGAUCUGUAGCUGGUCUGAGAGGACGACCAGCCACACUGGAACUGAGACACGGCCCAGACUCCUACGGGAGGCAGCAGUGGGGAAUUUUGGGCAAUGGGCGAAAGCCUGAUCCAGCAAUGCCGCGUGUGUGAUGAAGGCCUUCGGGUUGUAAAGCACUUUUGGCGGGAACGAAAAGGACUGUGCCAAUACCACGGUUCGAUGACGGUACCCGCAGAAUAAGCACCGGCUAACUACGUG
rnacentral:rRNA from 1 species